ACGCUGGCGGCAGGCCUAACACAUGCAAGUCGAGCGGUAGAAAGAAGCUUGCUUCUCUUGAGAGCGGCGGACGGGUGAGUAAUGCCUAGGAAUCUGCCUGGUAGUGGGGGAUGACGUUCGGAAACGGACGCUAAUACCGCAUACGUCCUACGGGAGAAAGCAGGGGACCUUCGGGCCUUGCGCUAUCAGAUGAGCCUAGGUCGGAUUAGCUAGUUGGUGGGGUAAUGGCUCACCAAGGCGACGAUCCGUAACUGGUCUGAGAGGAUGAUCAGUCACACUGGAACUGAGACACGGUCCAGACUCCUACGGGAGGCAGCAGUGGGGAAUAUUGGACAAUGGGCGAAGGCCUGAUCCAGCCAUGCCGCGUGUGUGAAGAAGGUCUUCGGAUUGUAAAGCACUUUAAGUUGGGAGGAAGGGUUGUAGAUUAAUACUCUGCAAUUUUGACGUUACCGACAGAAUAAGCACCGGCUAACUCUGUGCCAGCAGCCGCGGUAAUACAGAGGGUGCAAGCGUUAAUCGGAAUUACUGGGCGUAAAGCGCGCGUAGGUGGUUAGUUAAGUUGGAUGUGAAAUCCCCGGGCUCAACCUGGGAACUGCAUUCAAAACUGACUGACUAGAGUAUGGUAGAGGGUGGUGGAAUUUCCUGUGUAGCGGUGAAAUGCGUAGAUAUAGGAAGGAACACCAGUGGCGAAGGCGACCACCUGGACUGAUACUGACACUGAGGUGCGAAGCGUGGGGAGCAAAC
rnacentral:rRNA from 1 species